rnacentral:rRNA from 1 species
CAGCCCUAAACGAUGCGCGUUAGGUGUAUCGGUGACCACGAGUCACCGAGGUGCCGAAGGGAAACCGUGAAACGUGCCGCCUGGGAAGUACGGUCGCAAGGCUGAAACUUAAAGGAAUUGGCGGGGGAGCACAACAACGGGUGGAGCUUGCGGUUUAAUUUGGAUUCAACGCCGGAAAUCUUACCGGGACCGGACAGCAACGUGAAGGCCAAGCUGAAGACUUUGCCGGAUUAGCUGAGAGGUGGUGCAUGGCGUCAGUGACU